CCUACACAGGGCUCAAAGAAAGUGCCAUCAGGUCGUCCAGGACAAGUAGAUUUUCCUGCUGGUCAAUUACCUUUUCAUUCUCAUUUGCCUGAUGGGCAAAGACCCAGGCAAGUCCUCUACCAACUAAACCAAAAGAAAUGUCAACUACGUCUUGCCCAGGGCAAGCAUAGUUUGAGAGCUGCUUGUCUGAAGGGCAAGCUGGAAUUCACGUUUUUCAAGCCCUGCCACAGUUGACUAGCAUCCCAUGCUGAGCGAGUUAAGCCCCAGCAUUCACAAGCCCAUUUUCUUAACUUGAUGUCUCUCUGUAAGGUUAAUACAUAAAUAUAUAUGUAGUAAUAAACAAAACUAAUUAAAACCAAAUUGAUUGAUUCCAGGAAAUGAUGCAAGUGAAUCACAGUUGUCAAGCUCACCACCUAACAACAUUUCCCUAAAUGGAAAUAUGAAUGUGAACGGAUCAUCAAUUCCCAUCAGUAAUGAGGCCAUUGCAAGAGCAGCACAGUUUCCUACAGUGCAGAGUAUUCUAGCUAAGGUUGCAUCUCUCCAUGGUAACCCACCAAAGAGUCCAACAUCAGGUAUGGAAAUGGCACCCUACAUUUAUCCAUUGAUAGUCAAUUUCAGAAUAACUUCAACUUGUGUCAAAGGGAAGGGAUGACUUUGGGACCAUUAACUUACUUGACCAACAAAUAUAAACAAAUUUGCAACAAUUGGUUAUGUGGCCUAGUGGAGAUGAAGCUCUACUACAAAGUCAGAUGUUCAGACCUGUGAGUCAGAGUACAAAAUUUAAAGGCUUAAGGGGUAGGGUAGGGUAGGGUUAGGCAAGGUGGGGUUGAUAUUGAAUUCUGGCAGGGUAGGGUAGGGUUAGGUACUGAGGGGGCAAGGGUGUGUUUGGUAUUCAAAAAACCCCAUUAAAGUGAAAAAAAUAAAUAAACUGGUGUGAAAAAUUUAUCCUGGGUUGAAACAAAUUAAUCUAGGUUGAAAUCAUUCUGACUUAAAGAACAAAUUGACUAACAAUGGGACCCCCUACCUUGCUUCUCUGAGUUUCAUUGAGUGAAAAAGUUUUUAUUUUUGCCUAGAAACAACCGCAGUCAC